CUCCAUGUGUAGCGGUGGAAUGCGUAGAUAUAUGGAAGAACACCAGUGGCGAAGGCGGCUCUCUGGUCUGCAACUGACGCUGAGGCUCGAAAGCAUGGGUAGCGAACAGGAUUAGAUACCCUGGUAGUCCAUGCCGUAAACGAUGAGCGCUAGGUGUUGGGGACUUUCCGGUCCUCAGUGCCGCAGCAAACGCAUUAAGCGCUCCGCCUGGGGAGUACGACCGCAAGGUUGAAACUCAAAGGAAUUGACGGGGGCCCGCACAAGCGGUGGAGCAUGUGGUUUAAUUCGAAGCAACGCGAAGAACCUUACCAGGUCUUGACAUCCUGUGACAAACUUAGAGAUAAGUCUUUCCCUUCGGGGACACAGAGAC
rnacentral:rRNA from 1 species